AAUUAUCAGACUGCUCUAUCACAAAAAUGGACAAAUGCCUGGCAAAUUGUUUUUGGCAUAUGGAGUCUUAUCAACGUUUUCCAAGUAGGACUGCUUACAAAAAGUAUUUUCAGAUAUCAGUGACUGAUGCAGGUCAGAGCUGUGGGGACUUGAGUCCAACUUCAACUGCAGCAGUGCUCUAAGAGAACUUGGUCCUUUGGCCUAUUUAAAUAGGGGUGAAUUGUCAGGCUAAGUGUGAGGUGCCUUCCAAAAAGACUGCAGUGCCUCCUCAGUGCUUCUAAGUCAGGAUAACACAGACCAAACUUUGAAAACUAUCGUAUUAUCAUGGAGGUCUCAAAUUUUAUCAACUGACAUUAGAGAAUGUCUAUCAAGCAUCCAGAAAAAUAAGGACUUGGUUGCUGCCCUCAAAGAACCCACCUCAAGCCUAACAGAAAAUACCAAAUAUUUUCUCCCUUAUAUCAUUUCAUUUAAGACCUACAACCUUGAGGUGGGUAUGGUUACCAUCCUUAUCCUACCAUGGAGUAAAUGUUCCGCUCCAAAUCACACAGUAAGUGAUAAGCCAGGGCUCUCUAAAUCCUUGGGUAUUGAUGGGCACCAUUUAGUCCAGGGAGUCCAAAUCUUAAGCUUGCUGUUCAGUUUUUCUGGUCAAAUGAAGAGUUCCUCAUUUCACUGAUACCACUGACUUUUUAUUUGUCCACUGAUCCAGGACGAAGAACCUGGUACCUCAUGGUCACUACCAGGCUGUUCGAAGCGACUGUGCCGCCAACUUAGCAGAGGGAGCAGUGCGCAUGCCUGGGCUUGGGGCCAGCCCGACCCCUAGGGUCUGUGAACGAAACCUGUCCCAGCUGGCUCAGCGCCUCCACUCGAGACCCCUCAGAGGCUUGCCCUCGGCCGCCUAGGCCAGACCUGUCUCCUGAGGCCAGCAACCCACGAAGCGCCGCCAGCAGGCCCGCCACCAGCCCCGAAGCCGAAGCAGGCGCUGACUCAGGGGUCGCCGGGGAAGCUGACCCGACCGUCCUAGGGACCCUGGGCCGUGGGGGCAGACGAGGGCGCUCUGCGGACCUCUCAACUUGCUGCCGGCCCCGGCCCGGGCCCCGUGCCGCGGAGGUGUUCGCGCAGGGCUCUCGGCCCCUCGGGUGGACGGGGUUCCCGCCCGCAGGCCGCCCUCGUGCAGCCCCGAGGCCUGAGCCCCCGCCUCUGGCUGCCAGCCCGCGCUCCGCGUUCACCGCGCUGGGUCGGGGCCCGCCUCUCGGCCGUUUUCGCUUUCGCUUUCCUGCCGCGGUCGUUGAGGAAAAUGAAAGUGACCGUGGCCGUGGCCCGGCCCGGCACAGCUGCCGUCGGGGCGAGGGGUGCACAAAACGCCAGCGGUCGGCGAGGAGCGUGCGAGCUGGAGCCGCUGCCCGCGCCAGACGAGAUGGCAGCACGCUCUGGACUUCUCUGCCCGGCAAGCAGCCCUGAGGCUGGACAGCAGGGAAGCAAGAAAAUGGACUCCCCUCUGCAGCCUGCAAUGGUCACGUGGCUGGUCGAGGUUGGAUCUCCCAGAGACCAGGGCAUAUACAUACAUGUGUGCCCUGGCCCGAAUCCUCAGAUCACCAAGGCUUUGGCCACCUCCACCCUUGUGUGACACUGUGAGUCUAUACGUGACUGCAUUUGUUUGUCAGUGUCACUCCCUGGGCUGAACCGAUAAGGGGGUGAAGGGGGACUUUGGGUAAGUCGCUUCCCAGCCUUUCGGAAGCCCUGGGAAAGCAGCGGCAGGCACCCUGCCAGGCCUCUGUGGUCCGCACUGCGGCAGUCCAGGCACGAUCCAAGAGCUGCAGACACUGCCCUGGGGAGUUUCGGAGCUACAGGUCCCUGGGCAAGACUUUCCUCCCAAGUGGGAGCCACAGGGCUGAUCGUGAUCCAGGCAGGCAUCAGCACAGCUGCUGCCACAGCACAAGUUGACUCUUGUCACCCCCCUGAUCCUCUAGCGCAGGCAGAAGGAUAUGAGGCCUCGGUCUGUACCGUAGUUUUCCAUUCAUUCCUUUGCUCACUCCUUCACAGAGUACCCAGCAAAUAAGUAAGCACCUAAGAUGUCCUGAGCGAGCUUGAGGCAACACACAAAACAACCCAGGUCCCUGGGUUGCCCUUGCUUGACCCUUCUGGUCUCACCUGUGGAAUUUGACUAGGCAGAGCAUCCUUGUCCAGAGGGAGGGAGAAAGGAAAAAAACAAGUUAUUGAGGGUCUUUCUCAUCUUGGUGGUCUCUGAUUCUGUAGACAGAUCCCACAGAAUAUUCUUUAAUGGAUUAGGCAUAUCCCUUAAAUCAUGUCCGGGGGUUGGGUUGCGAUCUGUAUUUCUAUUAU
rnacentral:lncRNA from 1 species